GCUCCUGUCGUUCAAAGGAUAGGACGGCGGUCUACGGAACCGCUGAUGGAGGUUCGAAUCCUCCCGGGAGUACCA
rnacentral:tRNA from 1 species